GAAAAAUACUUUAUGAAGGUGGAUGAUAUAGUACCUGGCAGCGAGCAGAACAAGUGCAAAUAUGUGGGUUAUAGUGACAUUUUUAUUGUAUUUUUUCAUUCCAUCCAGGACAGCUCCUGUGUGUUCCAAGAGUCCAAAUUGGCUUUGGUCUUGUCCUAGAGUUGUGUAUGUUUAAACUUGAGUAAAGCAUGUCUGGUAUUGGUAGUUCAAAG